UGUUCACUGGCCUUCACCUCUUCUCUGCUCAGGGUUCUCGGGAGCCAGGGGAGAUGCUGCCACGGAAGCUGAAACG
ensembl:snoRNA Gm22394 predicted gene, 22394